UGGGGCUGUGAGCACCUGGUAAAGGUUGAGAAUGGGAGUUUGUGCUUUCAAGAAUCCUUGGGAACAGAUCGGAAUUGCGGGUUUUUGGAGUUUGGGCAGGGUGUGAGUGCUGACCUACGUGGGUGGAGCUAUUGGGAUACUAGGGCGGAGCUUUGGAUUCCAACUUAACUUGGCCCAGAUCUACUUAAGGACAAGGAAGGACUGUGCAGGUUGAACUGGUGGGCCAGACUGUCAGUACUCAGUAAGGUGGUCAGGGCCUCCAACGUACCAGCCAGUGCUGUGUGUGGUGAGAUUAUGUUGAUAGAGCUAAGCUUUGGAUCGUGGCAUUACUUGUUGGAGGACUACAGGAGGAGGAAGGCUUGCCUGUGCGUGUGAGCCGGAUUAGAAAUGAUGGGCGGGGCUGUGUAUGCUGAGAUAGAUUGCUGACAUAUGAAGUAGGAACAGAGCUUUGGAUAGUGACAUAGUAAAGUCCCAGAAAUUCUGAAAGAGAAUGACAGUGUCGUUUGAGAUGUAAGAGCCAGGUUUUGGGUUGUGGAUGGGGCUGUUAAUGCCAGUUUGGAUCUCUAAAGUGCUGGCCAGGACUGUGAAUUGUGAGUGUGACAGCAGGGCUGAGCAAUCCUGAUAGAAUGUGAUAGAAGACCACUUAAGGAAUAGGACGUGGAUGUGGAUGCUGACAUAAGAGUACGGAUUGUGUAUGCUGGACAGGAUGGGUGCACUACUGUGAGUAGUGCUAUAUGAAGCAAGGGAGGAGGAGUCUGGUCAUUUGUGAUGAUGCAGGAGUGGCGGGUAGGACACUGCUUUCUGAGUUAGUUGUGGUGAGUAGUACUGUGUAGGUUGUUGUCUGAUGAUGGGCAGUACUGUGCACACAGUGUGGUUGGAGUGGUGGGAGGGGUGUGGGUUUGAAGGUAGGAGAGGUGGGUGUUGUUGCGAAUGUUGCUCAGGGCACCCAGGGUUUACAGAGUACUGGGAAAGGUCUAUAGGUAUUUCUGGAGGGGGAGGGAGACAUCUGAAUACUGACAUACCAUGACAGAGGAUCACUGGAGAGGGAAGAACAAGACUGUAUGCUGAAGUAGGAGUGGUGGGCUUAGCUGUGAGUGCUGACCUAGGUGAGCUGUCUCGAGAGUAACAGGGAUGGUUGUCAAUGGUAAGAUAUGAAGUGGGGAUUGAACUUUGGAUAUUAAUACAAGAUGAUGCAGGACCACUGGAAGUGGGGGGCAGAGAAGUGUAUGCUGAAGUGGGGGUGAUUGGUGAAGUAUGAAGUAGAGCUUUGAAUACUGUCAUAAUAAAUUUCAGACUGCUGAUGUAGGGCUGGGCUUUGAGUGCUCACCUCCAUGGGUGAGUCAAUGGAAGCAGUGUUGUAGGACAAAGGAAGACAGCAGUGAAUUCUAACCUAACAAGACUCAUGCUAAUGGAGAAGCCCAGCUGAGUGUGUUGAGAUUAGCACUAGAGGCAGAGAUAAAGGAAAAUCAGGGUGGGCCUGUGAGUACUGUGGUUGACCUGGGGGCAGGGAGUGGGCUCCUGAGUAAGCAAGAUAAAGUUGUUAGUGGCAGAGUAGAUGGGAGAGGAAGAAGUUUAGGGCAGACCCCUGGAUUAAAAAGUAAGGCAUUUGGAAUGGGGCUGCAGGAAGAGGAGCUAAGCCGGACUGUGAGAGCUGAGGUGGGGAUGUGGAAAGUGUCCUAUAAGUUGCUGUAUAGAUAUGGGUGGGGCUUGGGAGGAGCAGGGUAGAGCAGGGUAGGGACCUUUUAGGUAUGUCAAAGAAGCUUGUAGAGUAGCUACUUGGAGUUGGAAGGAGGCACUCAGAGAUUGUGAGGCACAUCCUUAAGUAAGAGAGGCAAAGUAAGAAGAGAAGGAUGCCUUAGGGACCUAACCAUAUCCUGAGGGUGAUCUCCAGGGGACACCUUAGAGGGCAUGAAUGCUGCAAAAAAAAAAAAAAGGCCAGGAACUUUUGUCUGGGACUCAGGUAUACUUAAGCUAAGUCUUAAAGGGUAAGACUCAAUUCCUGAGGAGGUCAGCCUCCUUUUCUCCAAGCCCUGCUGUCUAAAAGUACCAAUGGUCCUAAUCUUACUAAGGUUUAUUUCAAGUGCGAAUUUGGCAGCCAACUCUGGAUCCCUACCUCUGCGGUGCCUAGAAGAAAAUAUGGCUGUCUUCUUGUUUGCCAGGGCUACCCAAGGUCAAAGAAUAUCCUAUUACCCAUCCAUACAGCCCAUACACCUCCCCAAGUUCUGGCAAAUGGGAUCAUAUAGUACUACCCGGAGCCCUACAUUUAUUGCUGGUUUUGACAUUUCAUAUGGACGAGAAGAAGCUGUGCCUCAGGAACCCUAGACAUGGAUGGACUACUUAGUCUAUUGGCAUCCAUGUAAUGCAGUACCAGGCCUUAAUUGACCAUGAACUCUCCUAGAGCAUGCAAAAGCAACUGUAUCAUCGUGGGUCAUCUAAGAAGACACAGAGGUUCUUCGUCUUCCUCCGGGGCUCCACGGUCUCUGAUGAGAAGGCCCCAUCUUUCUAAUUGUUUUAGGCAUAUCAAUAUAGGAUCAUUUCUCUUCGAGUGCUUCUAAGCUGGAAUCCUGUGACACACAGAUGUGAUGGAAUCCAGCACAUCAGAGGAAAGAGGAGAGGCACUACUCCCUGAGUGAAUGGUGAUUCCACAUCUUCAUCUGUCCUCUUGAUUUCCAAGACUCCCUCCAUCUCCAGGGAAACUUCAAGUGAUUUCUCAUUGAGGUGCAAUGUGGGCUUCUGAGCAGGAGGACUUUACUGUUGCCUUCAGGCCUUAUAUGGUGAGUGAUGCCUCAUUACCUGCCUCUCCCCUGUAGUCUGCUGCAACAUCUUGGAGGAUUACUCUUAUUACCACUCAGUCAAAUACCAGCUGCCUGGUAAAUGUGACAUCAUUUGGAGGGGUCAGGGGGCACAGUGUGAUGGUCUCAAAAGGAUUAGAGCCUGAUCAUGGUUGACACAGCUCUCCUCUGAAGACAGUAAACUGAAGUGUCCUUCUAAACAAUCAGCACUGUCAAUUGUCUGGGGUUCAAGUAAACUGCGUUUGGAAAAGGUGGGAAGUGAGGCAGUUUGUAAAGAUCAGUCUGGAGGACUGGCUGACAGGGAGCCCUGUAUCUAUAUCUCUGUGCAGGAGAAUAAGGCAGCAUUGAAAAGUGCGAGAGGGUUGUGUGUGAUCUCCCUGGGCAAAGAAAAUGAUUCAUUUUACCACCAUGUGGAAGGAGGCUAAGAGGUUGUGAGUAUAGAGACCCAGGGUAUAGGAACACGACAGAAUCCAGCCUUGGGACCACAGGAGGCCAUAUUGGUGUACAUGAGUGAGGUGUGUGGACAGGCCCAUCCAGCACAUCAGCCAAGUUCUCCGUGCCACUCUGAGCCUGUAUGACUUGGCAAGUCGUAGUGGGCUGCCUGGCACCAUGCAAAACCAAAUCUUAGGCUAACAGAAAUACUGGCACACAACAAACAUUUAGUACCUAGCUGCUUUCCUAGCUCCUGGCUACAGAAACACAUUCACCCAUGGUUCAGUGUAGGCUGAUGGAGCUGGGGGCAAAUAUGUGAGCACAAUCCCAGGUUUCUGAGCUUUAAAGAGUCUGUCUUGACAGAAGGAAGGAUGAAAGAGGGAUGAAAGCUGGAAGCCCUUGGCAGGGAGCUCAUAAGUUUGCUAGCUCCUGCCCCAGAGAUGUAGAGUAAGGGCUAGGCAGCAGCCCAGGAUGGCAGAGGAAGUAGAAGCUAAA